rnacentral:rRNA from 1 species
CCUACGGGUGGCAGCAGUGAGGAAUAUUGGUCAAUGGGCGCGAGCCUGAACCAGCCAAGUAGCGUGAAGGAUGACUGCCCUACGGGUUGUAAACUUCUUUUAUAAAGGAAUAAAAUGAGGCACGUGUGCCUUUUUGUAUGUACUUUAUGAAUAAGGAUCGGCUAACUCCGUGCCAGCAGCCGCGGUAAUACGGAGGAUUCAAGCGUUAUCCGGAUUUAUUGGGUUUAAAGGGAGCGUAGAUGGGUUGUUAAGUUAGUGGUGAAAGCUUGAGGCUCAACUUUGAAAUUGCAUUUGAUACUGGCCGGCUAGAGAGUAGUUGCGGUAGACGGAAUUCAUGGUGUAGCGGUGAAAUGCUUAGAUAUCACACAGAACACCGAUUGCGAAGGCAGCUUACCAAGCUGCUACUGACAUUGAGGCACGAAAGUGUGGGUAUCAAACAGGAUUAGAUACCCCAGUAGUC